AGCGAACGCUGGCGGCAGGCCUAACACAUGCAAGUCGAACGAACUCUUCGGAGUUAGUGGCGGACGGGUGAGUAACACGUGGGAGCGUGCCUUUUGGUUCGGAAUAACUCAGGGAAACUUGUGCUAAUACCGAAUGUGCCCUUCGGGGGAAAGAUUUAUCGCCAUUAGAGCGGCCCGCGUCUGAUUAGCUAGUUGGUGAGGUAACGGCUCACCAAGGCGACGAUCAGUAGCUGGUCUGAGAGGAUGACCAGCCACACUGGGACUGAGACACGGCCCAGACUCCUACGGGAGGCAGCAGUGGGGAAUCUUGCGCAAUGGGCGAAAGCCUGACGCAGCCAUGCCGCGUGAAUGAUGAAGGUCUUAGGAUUGUAUAAUUCUUUCACCGGGGACGAUAAUGACGGUACCCGGAGAAGAAGCCCCGGCUAACUUCGUG
rnacentral:rRNA from 1 species